AUGUCCCAGGAGGCCCCGCGGCCCGGCCCGACUUCCGGUCAGAGCUCGGCCCGCGUUUCCGGUGCCUUGAAGGAGCGGCCGAGGGCGCGAGCCGGGAGCGCCGCGGCGCGGGGACGAUCUUCCCGGCGACGGCCAGGGGAGGCGCCUUGGCCCUCGGCGGCUGUCCCUCCGUGGACUACAUUUCCCAGAAAGCCCGUCAGGCCUCUCGCAGGGACCCGAGCGUUUGCCCUGGCCUGGCGGGACCGUUAGAUCAGUGAGCAGCGAGGAGAUCCUAGAGCGAACCGUAGGGUUGCUGUUCAGGGCAACCUGAAGGUUGGGUGAGGACGGAGGAGGCCUGUGGGAGCACCAGCAUCAGAAAGUAGACGUUCUGAUGGGUUUUCUGGGAGGCCAUGAAAUAAUGGCUGGUCACCUACAUGUAUGUGGCAUCCUGCGUGUUCCCGUGGACUCCUCUGUCACCUCUGUGGUGGUGACUUGAGAACUCUCUCUCUCUCUCUCUCUGAGUUUUACCCUUUGCCGGAUGGGUUGUCUAGAAGAGGGAAAGAAUUCACAAUGAAAUACAAAUAAUAGCCAAGCCCGGAAUCAGCGUGUGAUACCAAGAGACUGUCACUAAAGAGCGGCGUCUCAAUCAAGUCACACUCACCUCCAAAGACAUGCCUGGUUUUAUUCAGCCUGCAUUUCUUACUCUACACCAGAACAAAAAAAAAGAAGAAGAAGAAGAAGGAGAGAAACCGUAUGAAUGUAAGACAUAUGGGAAGACUUUUAAUCAGAACUUAGAGAUAAUUCAACCCCAGGGUAUUGUCCUGGUGAAAAACCCUACGAAUGUUAGUGUGGGAAAGCCUUUCAUCGGGGCUGGCUUGUUACUCCAUCAGCAGGCUCAUAUUGGUUAAAAAAGAAAACUAGUGAAUGUAAGCAGCAUGGCAAGACGUUAGUUGUAGUUCAUAUUUUUCCCAACACCGAAGGCUUCACACUGGUAGGAGACCCUCUGAAUGUGAGGAGUGUGGAAAAGCCCUUGAUUACUGCUCCAACCUUCAUGACCAUCAGAGGAUUCAUAUGGGUGGGAAACUGUGGCUGCAAAGUCUGUGGAAAAGCCUUCACUAGAAGCUGACAACCUUUCCCACACCCGAGAAUUCAUGGGCCUUCUUACGCGCCACAGCCGCUCACUGCCGAGAAACCCUCUGGAUGUAAGGAGUGCGGGAAAGGCUUCAGCAGGGCCUCAGCACUCACCACCACUAAUCCCACUGAGAAAUGUGAGCGGAGAGACUGUGGAAAGACCCUGUAGAGCUCAGCACUUAACGUCAGAGAAGCUGUACAGAUGAAAGACCAAUGAAUGCAAUGAGUGUGGGAAGGCCUUAGUAAAGGUUCAACUCUCACUCAACGUCAGGAAGUUCACACUGUGAGAAACCUUAUGAUUGUGCGGAGUGUGGAAAAGCCUUUGGUAGCUGUUCAAACCUCAUUCAUCUCGAGGGAAUUCAUGCGAGGUGAACAGGAAGUAAGACACUUGUUAGCCUUUAAUAUUUUUCAGGUAAGGAAAGCAGUCUAGGAAAUGCAGGUCUUCUGUGCCUACUGUAACAAAGAACAAAGUAACAAAGUUUGGUUUCCUGAGACAACAGAAUUUUUUAUUUGUUUGUUUCUCUAUGUAGCCCCAGCUAUCCUAGAACUCCCUGGGUAGACCAGACUGACCUUGAACUCUCAGAGAUCCAACUGCCUUUACCUCCUGAGAGCUGGGAUUGAAGGUACCAGCCACCAUUGCCUAGCAAAAACAACAGAAAUUUAUAAUCACAUUUUUGGAGCCUGGAAUCCCAAGAAGGUGCUGGCAAGGGUAGCUCCUUCCAAGAAGUCGGCAAAUAUUUUCUGUGCUUCUUCUAUUAGAAGGCAGGAGGUUUUGGGGCCCUCAGAUAAGCACCAGGGAAAUCCGUAAUUUUAAACAUGGAGGCUUGUCUCUCCAACAGGGGAGAGGUUUACUGAUCUCCACCUGGAAAGCUGAAAAUGGUUGUAAUUUUAACUUGUUGAUCCUUGUUACCUGCAGGGUCAGGCCUCACCAGAACCCCCCAGACAAGCGUGUUUGGUCAUCCCAGACUCUUCCUCCCUAGAUCUUGAGCAUUGUGUCAAAAAAACCUGUCCUGGGGGGGGGAUGCCCCCAAUACAACAGCCUAGAUAACUUCCGUGUCAUCUGUAGGGCCAGGCCACUCCUGACUCCAGAGACUUAUUCUCCCUAGACCCUUGUCUUGCACAGUGUUUCGAAGUAAACAAAACCCAUCUUUAUGGACUUUGUACAGUUUCAAUGGAAACAUGUCUGAAGCUUUGUUAGACACACAAAUUGUCCAGUGUCAGACUAGAAGUUUGAACCAGCACCGGCUUCUGCAUCCUGUUGAGCCAGAUUUUCUUCUUGCCUCAUGGGGAUCAUUACUCUGCCUGGUGUUUGCAGAGAGUCCCACACUGUUAGUUUCUGCAGCAGCCAUCAUUUUGUAGACACACCGUCCCAGUCCCUGCCUUUAUCUCUGCAUUGCGUUCCUUCUGGGCACCUUCUUUCAUGCAGAUUACCAUCUUACUGGGUUAGAGGCUCUUAACUUUAUCUGAAAAAACAAAACACCUUGAUUUCCAUGACAAAUCAGGAGUUAAGGGAAGCACACUGAGGGUAAGGAGAGUGACACAGUUCAAAACUAUGAUAGCCUAUCAAUACUAUUUUAUUUAAUGUAUCUAUAAUUUUCUCCUAUAUUCAACUUAAUUAAAUGUAUUUUAAAACUCUAUCCUUCCCCAAGAAGAAAAGAUUUUUAUCCCAAAACUACAUAAAUUACCCUCAAUUUCAAUGCCUUUUUCUCUUUUUUUUUUUUACUUUAAAAACAUCUUUUUUAAAGUUUUUUAAAAUUCAACUUCUUUCAUGUGUAUGUAUGUGUCCUAUAAGCAUUUGUGCCACAUGCGUGCAGGUAUGCAUAGAGGCCAAAAGAGUGUGUCAGAUUGCCCUGGGACUGGAGUUACCGGUGGUUUGGAGUGUUCUGACGUGGGUGCAAGAACUCUUAACCACUGAGAUGUGGUUGGGCUCCUGUUUUUCUUCCUGUACCCAAGCUCCUGGAGCAAUGACUCACGAGACUCAAAAUACUUUACGAAUACCUAGGUCAUACAGCUAGGCUCUUCUCUGACUAACUCAUAACUUAAAAUAACCCAUUUUAAUCUAUGUUCUGCCACGUGGCUGGUUAUCUGUGCUCAGACACCAUGCAUCUGUUCUCUUACAUGUCUUCCUGGGUGAAUCUCCCACACCUGGCACUAUCCCAGAAUCCUUUCUGCCUAUCAGAUGUCCCACUUCCUAUUUUUUGCCUCAGCCAUGGGCCAUUAGCCUUUUAUUGACAGGUGAUGCUCCCAUACAAACACAAGAGAUUCCUUCUACAGAGAGAUAUCUCUCCAGGCCCUUAAAAAUUAUAUUCUGAUGUGUAAGUAACAUUUUCUUUCUAUAAAAUAUUAACAGGCAGUACUCAUUGCAACUUACAGUAUACUCAAUAAAAUUUUUCUUCCUAAAGAAAAAAGUAUUAUCAAUAGCUUUCCAACCCUCACUAUAAUCCUUGCUAUCAGUGUGUUUCAUUACAGACUCCUAUUACUAGAAUUGCAUACAUAAACACACAGAGAAAAGGAACUUUUAUUUUCCUGAGGUAAGGAAAGGUAAGGUUUUAGAGGCUUAUUGCCUCUGUCUGCUAACCCAGGUCUAGUCCUGGACACUUCUAGCACCAUAAAAUCUAACCUAGCCCUAGAAUGUUUCACCCUCUGAGACUUACUGCUGAAUAAGCUCACCCUUUCUUGUUCUUACUGAGCUCUUAGCUGGCCGGUUCAACUCAGCUGUUCUGGCUCAAACUCUUCUCCCUGCUAACUUAUUCAAUCUGGAUUUUUCUCUCACCACUGAAUUGUUUUACUUGGCCUCAAACUAAUUCAAGCAAUCUUUUCUAAUCUUCCGGCUUCCCGUUCUCUGGCUCAUUCCUGAGCUGUCUUCACCUGAGAUUACUGUCCCAGUAAAACUGCCCUUCUCCCUCUGCAUUGCCCCAAAAAUAGCCUCCCUUUCCUCUCUUCAUGAGAGUGGGUGGGUCCUAUUCUGUCAAAUCUUCUAUUGAUUUGUCGCCUUUUCUGCCAGUCAAUUAGACAUCACUUUCAAACAUGCGUACUUCCUUUUACAAACUAACUACUUUCAUUGUUAGGGACUAAAGGGGUGUACCACCACACCAGGACCCAUGCUUUUCUUUACCUGAAACUUUCUCUAUGCCAGGCUGCCUUGAGCUCAGAUCUGCUUGCCUCCUGGAUUAAAGGUCAGUUUGUAUUCCAGCUAAAUCACACAGACCUAGAAGAUCUUUGGAUAUUAUCUCUUGCCAGCUGGAUUACACAGAUUUAGGCCUUUGGAUGUGGUCUCUUGCCAGAACAGCCAAGUUCUGAAUUAAAAUUCCUACAGACACACACACACACACACACACACGGCUGCUUUAUAUAUGUAUAUAAAUAUACAAUGUGCAUUGAAAGGACUAAAUGAUCUAAGAAAUGUAAAAUAUUGGGCUAGUUUCUAACAUUAGUAUCUACAUGGAUAUAAUCUGAUAUUACUAUCUCUUUGUCUUAGUUUGUUUUUAAGAUAUUUUAUGUUUAUGAGUGCUUUGCCUGCAUGUGUGUGUGUGCACCAUGUGCAUGCCUGGUGCCCUUAGAGGUAAAGCAAAGGUGUAACAUCCUCUGGUGGAGUUAAGGAUGGACAUGAGCUAUGUGGGUGUUGGGAGCUGAACCCAGGUCCUCUACAGAAGCAGCAGGUGCUCGUCACUGCUGAGCCAUCCCUCCAGCCCAAUAAUAGUAUCUCAUCACUGUUAGUGGAAAAGAUUUUAACAAUAUUUAAACCCAUAGUUGACAGCAGAGUUCAUGGCAAAGGCCAGUGAAUGUGCUUUUAUAAAUGUUUCUCACUGUGGAGACGUAGCUGGUCUUUGCUACUUUGUGGGUUCUUCUUUUUCCCACCAUUUGUUGCCCUGGUUUCACCCCCUAACACUAGAUAGGGGAGAAAGAAUAUUAUGGGGAAAGAGAGAAAUUCAUGAAUCUGAUUUCUUUCCCAACCCUUCCUCCCAGUUUCCAGCCCAGCCUCUUUCUUUUUUUGGGGAAUGGUUUCUCCCAACCGCUCCUCCCUCAGGCCCCAGCAGGCUGCUUAAACGGCGCUUCCUCCCAAUUUUCUCAGUACUCUGACAACUAUUCUAGCCUAUCGUUAAGAUACGUUACAAAAAAAAAGAAAAAAGAGAUACAUCUUUUUCCAAUCAUCUCUUCUAACUCCCAGAUAAAUGACGCGAGACCUAUUAGAUUUAUAAGUAAGGUUCAGGCUCUAUAACUGGGCAGAUAUGAUCUACUCUAACCCUCCAUGCUAGUCUGACUACUUCCCAGCCAUAUGUCCCAAAUUACUUGCCAUAUCCUGUCUAGGCUGUGUCUGCUCCAUCAACACAUCCUUUCUCUGCCUCUUCUCCUCCUUCUCCUUCUCCUCCUCUCUCGUGGUCUCUACCUGAGACCUCUCACUGGAUCGGAAGUCCAGCCUUUCUAUCUCUCCUGCGUGCUGUGCUGUUUAGCUUCUUUAUAAACCAACCAUAGAUAUUUGGGGAGCAAAAUUUACACAACAUUGAUCAGUGUACAUGGCAAUGUCCAGGUCUGGACUAUAACCAUAUCUCGGGCCCAGAAUUCAGCAUCUAAACACACACAGCACCAGACCAUCCCCCAGCAGCCUGUCUGCUCAGGUCUGCUGCUCCUGGCUCAACUGUUUCUUACCAAUAUCUUUUGCCCCAACUGCCUUCUCCUCUCAUUCUACUAGCCCAAUCCUGCACCAACUGUACCUUUGAUUUAGGGAAACAGUAACAGCUGAGCAAUCCUGUUACCUGUGUUCAAUUGCAUAUCUUCUUUUUAUAUAAGCCAUUAUUUUAAUUUAGCCUUAGAAAUCUUCAUGCACAAUGAAUCCUUGGGAAGUCAAGCUGCUCCUUCCCAAGACCAUUCCUACUGUCCACGAGAGCAAAGGAAGGACCACAAGCUUCAACAGUUAUUUUAUAACAUCGAAUUUGAGGGGCAGUGUAAGAUGUUUAUGUCCGGUCUGGAGCAGCACUACCUACUGUAGUGUGUGUUAGAACUGUAACGUUUGGCUGAGGUUUUUUGGCCUGCUUGUUAUUUCCUGGCUGACAAGAGGCAAGCGGAUUGUGCUUUUAGCUGUGGGGCCUUGAGCUGGGCUUCCUUUUUUAUUUCCUGAUGGCAAGAAACUGCCUUGGAUAUCUCUCUGGUUCCGGCACUCACUGGCCCAAUGGCAACCCUUGCCACCUCACCUACACAUCCUUGGAAUUCUAGGCCUCCUUUCUGAUUUAUAUUUAGAAAAACAUUGCCCCUAGGGAUGCCUUGUUCACAAUUUUGUUUCAAAUGACCAUACUUCUCACAAUUACAGCACCGAACUUUUUGAGAUCUAAGACCUUUGGCGGCUUGGUCACAAUCUCUUUGCAAAAGACUGUAUUUCCAGCAACUGAAAAGCCAGGCGUUUUAACAUGAGAGACCUCUAGCUAUAGUUUGACCUAU